CGUCGGAAAUGUUGACGCGGUAAGAUUUCAUGCCGAG
rnacentral:sRNA from 1 species